UAUCACAUUGAAACACUGACUCCCAUACGAUCACCAAAGUUAAGCAACAUCAAGCCUGGUCAGUACCUUGAUGAGUGAUCACUUGGGAAUACCAGGGGUUGUAA